rnacentral:lncRNA from 1 species
UCGGUGCCGCUAACAGCAUCUACUCGUAUCGUCUGUGGCCAACACGUGUCUAUUCAUUUUUUUAAUCCCCUGCCACCCAUCUGAUAAUCUCUCUGCCACCCACGUGCACACUUAUCUUUAUCUCCUUUCCUCUCUCCUCUCUCUCUCCCCCACCACAUACAGCCCCUGCUUUCUCUCCUCCUCCACCUCCUCUCUCUCUCCCCUCGUGCUUAUGCAGCAGCCCCUCAUGGCCGGCCGAUGCCGCGUGCUGUUGGUCUGCCGCCGCCCUUGCGGCCGUGGGGAGCAGCCAGGCGGAGGAGGAGCAGAUGAAGGUGGCUAGAUCUCCACCGUCUCCCUCGCGGCCGACCUCUACCGUCAUGACCAAGCUCUCCCUCUAUCUCCAGUACUCCUCCCCUAUCCGUGGUACUAUGAGGGAUGCGUGGUUUUUUUUUAUGCUCUUCUCUUUCUUCUAGAUCCAUCAUCGAUGGUGAGCUUCUAUCUCGUACUAACUAUGUACUUCGUGUUUGUUGUACCAUAAAGAGGCUAGAUCUUGUUAUUUUGCUUUUGGGUUUCUUGGUUUUCUCUUUGAGUUAAGAGUACGGGCAAGAAUAAAAGCGAAGAAAAAUUCGUACCUUGUCAUGUACCAAUGGUACAUGUUGUGAUUUGUUUGAUGCAUAUUAAUGUAACAUUCUAUGUGUUGUUGUACGUGAUAAGCUUACCGUGUAACAUUGGUAUAUGACAAGGUACUAAGUUUUAACAAAUGCUUGUACUAUAUUUUUUCUGGUACAUGACGUAUCAUAAUUUAUUUACAGAUGAGCUAGUACACAUUAACGAGGUAUAUGUUUCGUACUGUGAUUUUUUUCAUGGUACAUGAGAUUGAUGUACUCGGUUUUUUUUUCUGGUACAAGACGUACUUUACGAGUUGAUGUACACGGUAUUGAUUUUUUUUCAUGAGGUACUUAAAAACUGAAAAGAUACUGAGCAACCUACCUGAUGUACUUGUCAUGUACGUAGUACGUUGAUAGUGCCCCUCAUGCAAUGUUUCAUGUACUACAAAUGAAUAACGUACUUGUCUUGUAACGUUUAUGUACCAUUGUUUGGUGUACAUUUACCUGACGUAUUGUAAUAUGUACAUACAAAUAAAAUUAGUACAAAAGAAACAAGUGACGAUCUAUGUACAAAAUAAAUAAAAUAUCUUAUAAAAAUGUGAGAGAGAAAAUAUGAGUGGGAAAAAAGUGAGAAAAAAAACGCUGUGUGCCUGACACAAAGGACAGAGAAGUAAAGAAAAUAAGAAGGUGUCAGGGGUCACAUCCAAAAAAUGGUUGAUACAGGUAGUAUACUCUCUCGGUUAAUUAUCUCCAUGCAAUAUAAGACAAAAAACAACUAAUAAAGUGUUUGACAUGAAUUGUGUGGCUACAGAUGUGACUAAAUACCACUAUGGGUACAGCCUCCGCGUUAUACUAGCAAGCAUGGUAUAUAAAGUGUGCUCCAGCAAGCAAGAUCGACCAUCACAUUGCGGCAUUGCACGUAUAGGCCAGUACGUGUACACAUGAAAGCGUACAGUACGCAUACUGUGGGACGUACGGCACGGGAUAUGGAUCGCGUGGAGAGCGACGUAAAGCAGCGAUGAACUUUAAUUAGUGGAGUGUAAGUACACCGACGGACAACACAAGCACAAGAGGUCAGGAGGACAUGUAGUGAUUGAUGUACAGCAAAUUAGAUG